rnacentral:tRNA from 1 species
GCGGACAUGGCGGAAUUGGCAGACGCACCAGAUUUAGGAUCUGGCGGGAGACCGUGGGGGUUCAAGUCCCUUUGUCCGCACCA